rnacentral:pre_miRNA from 12 species
UACAGUUAGUUUUGCAGGUUUGCAUUUCAGCGUAUAUAUGUGUAUAUGGCUGUGCAAAUCCAUGCAAAACUGAUUGUGAU